ACUGUGGGAGGCAAUUGGACGGGUGAUGUCAGAUGAAGCUAGAGCGAUGUAUAACGGAGGGAUGGCUAGAGUCACAUAUUGGAGCCCAAACGUCAAUAUUUUUAGAGACCCAAGAUGGGGCCGGGGACAGGAGACUCCCGGUGAAGAUCCUUUAGUGGUAGGUACAUAUGCAUCUAGAUACGUUAGGGGUCUACAAGAAAACCAAGGUGACCGUUUGAAGGUUGCUGCUUGCUGUAAGCACUUCACUGCCUAUGACCUCGAUAAUUGGAAUGGAGUG
rnacentral:misc_RNA from 1 species